rnacentral:RNase_P_RNA from 1 species
AGGAGAGGGAGGGCGACCGACGGUAAGACUUGAUCUAGCUGAGGAAGGUCCCUCCUCCGACGGGCAAGAUGGGCUGAGAAAUUCAGCAUGGUGAGAACCAUGGCAAGGACCCAGAAACGACACGGACCCGGUCAACAGGAUGAUCCGCAAGGCGGUGACAUUCCCGGGGAUACGGUGAAACGGUGACUCCCCAUCGGAGCAAGCCCAUACAGCCGGUAUGACCGCCCGUGGACCGGCGGGUAGGGCGCGCAGUUGAAUGUCGCCUGAAACAGAAGGGGGCCUACUACCCUC